CAGACUUGUUCGUGGUACUUGACUAACAUCAACACCUUGUAUCGCUCGUGACAGGUUAGUAAACUAAACAUUUCUGUCACUAGUGUUUUUGUUGUUGAUUCGCCAUUGUCAGUUUACCUAAAGUCUAAUAAGGGGAUGCAGACCUAUUAGAAGCACAAGAAACUUGAGAAAAAUCCUGUGUUUUGAAACCCGUCAACUGACACCCUCCCUCACACCAAAGGCUGCAGGAUGUCAUCAAAUAGCACUGUGAAGAAGGAGCGGGGCUCUUGUGGGUCCUCUGGAGUAAAGUACCGCUUCUCAUCUCCUCUUGGUUAUAUCAUCAUAACAGCUUGUGCUAAAGGCUUGCAUGCAGUGGAACUGGCAGGAAAUAUAUCUGAUGAGAAUUUUUCUCCAAAUGAAAGUGAAAAUAUCUGGGCUUCAAAACUGCCCAUAACAAAAUUAUCAAGAACAUUGUAAGAAUCCUACAUGGGCCACUGGUCUCCUUCCCUCAGCAUGGCCACCUCUAGUGGGUGGCCAAUAGGUAAGGUCGGACUGAGGUGCAGCUAUUGCAAGAAGAUGAUACAAGUAAUCUACCAAAAGUGAUUCAGGAAAGUCUUACGUGGUUCCAGGUGUUCUUCAAGGAUCCAGAGCUUGUGGCUACUGUGCCCAGGCCAGAAAUAUGUUGCUUCAAACAAUCAAGUCUU